rnacentral:rRNA from 1 species
AGGGAUUGCCCUAGUAACGGCGAGUGAAGCGGCAACAGCUCAAAUUUGAAAUCUGGCUCUCGGGCCCGAGUUGUAAUUUGUAGAGGAUACUUUUGAUACGGUGCCUUCCGAGUUCCCUGGAACGGGACGCCAUAGAGGGUGAGAGCCCCGUCUGGUUGGAUGCCAAAUCUCUGUAAAGUUCCUUCGACGAGUCGAGUAGUUUGGGAAUGCUGCUCUAAAUGGGAGGUAUAUGUCUUCUAAAGCUAAAUACCGGCCAGAGACCGAUAGCGCACAAGUAGAGUGAUCGAAAGAUGAAAAGCACUUUGAAAAGAGAGUUAAAAAGUACGUGAAAUUGUUGAAAGGGAAGCGUUUAUGACCAGACUUGGGCUUGGUUAAUCAUCUGGGGUUCUCCCCAGUGCACUUUUCCAGUCCAGGCCAGCAUCAGUUUUCCCCGGGGGAUAAAGACUUCGGGAAUGUGGCUCUCUUCGGGGAGUGUUAUAGCCCGUUGUGUAAUACCCUGGGGGGGACUGAGGUUCGCGCAUCUGCAAGGAUGCUGGCGUAAUGGUCAUCAACGACCCGUCUUGAAACACGGACCAAGGAGUCGUCUUCGUAUGCGAGUGUUCGGGUGUCAAACCCCUACGCGUAAUGAAAGUGAACGCAGGUGAGAGCUUCGGCGCAUCAUCGACCGAUCCUGAUGUUCUCGGAUGGAUUUGAGUAAGAGCAUACGGGGCCGGACCCGAAAGAAGGUGAACUAUGCCUGUAUAGGGUGAAGCCAGAGGAAACUCUGGUGGAGGCUCGCAGCGGUUCUGACGUGCAAAUCGAUCGUCAAAUAUGGGCAUGGGGGCGAAAGACUAAUCGAACCUUCUAGUAGCUGGUUUCCGCCGAAGUUUCCCUCAGGAUAGCAGUGUUGAACUCAGUUUUAUGAGGUAAAGCGAAUGAUUAGGGACUCGGGGGCGCUAUUUAGCCUUCAUCCAUUCUCAAACUUUAAAUAUGUAAGAAGCUCUUGUUGCUUAAUUGAACGUGAGCAUUCGAAUGUAUCAACACUAGUGGGCCAUUUUUGGUAAGCAGAACUGGCGAUGCGGGAUGAACCGAACGCGAGGUUAAGGUGCCAGAGUAGACGCUCAUCAGACACCACAAAAGGUGUUAGUACAUCUUGACAGCAGGACGGUGGCCAUGGAAGUCGGAAUCCGCUAAGGACUGUGUAACAACUCACCUGCCGAAUGUACUAGCCCUGAAAAUGGAUGGCGCUCAAGCGUCUCACCCAUACCUCGCCCUCAGGGUAGAAACGAUGCCCUGAGGAGUAGGCGGACGUGGAGGUCAGUGACGAAGCCUA